CUAUUGUUACCGUCGGUAGUUUUUGUAUUUUCGAUCGUACUAAAUGCACGCGUUUUACUUACGCUCGUGUCGCGACCGCGGCACCGGGGAGUUUCGUUGGUAACAAUAAUUGCAUCGCGACGAUAACAUUUCGAUUCGAAAACAGCAACGCGACCGAUUCGCGUGUCGGCGAAAUGGGGAGAUUUUCAAUACUUCGGAAUUCCGGUUCAUUUGUCGAAGACGCGAACGAAAG